rnacentral:rRNA from 1 species
CUAACCUGCCCACUGAUUUAUUAAAGGGCCGCGGUAUAUUGACUGUGCAAAGGUAGCAUAAUCAUUUGUCUUUUAAUUGAAGGCUAGAAUGAAUGGUUGAAUGAGAUAUAUGCUGUCUCAUUUUAAUAAAUAUAAAAAUUUAGCUUUUAAGUUAAAAGGCUUAAAUAAAGUUAAAGGACGAGAAGACCCUAUAGAUCUUUAUAUAAUUUAUAAAUUAAUAAAUUUAAGAACACAAAAAUUUUAAAUUAUAAAAUAUAUUUGGUUGGGGUGACUGGAAGAUUUAAAGAACUAUUUUUAUUUUAUACCAUAAAUUUAUGAAUAAUUGAUCCAAUUUUAUUGAUUAAAAGUUUAAGUUACCUUAGGGAUAACAGCGUAAUUUUUUUAGAGAGUUCUUAUCGAUAAAAUAGAUUGCGACCUCGAUGUUGAAUUAAAGA